CCUACGGGGGGCAGCAGUGGGGGAUAUUGCACAAUGGGGGAAACCCUGAUGCAGCGACGCCGCGUGUGGGAAGACGGUCCUCUGGAUUGUAAACCACUGUCCCCAGGGACGAAGAUGACGGUACCUGGGGAGGAAGCUCCGGCUAACUACGUGCCAGCAGCCGCGGUAAUACGUAGGGAGCGAGCGUUGUCCGGAAUUACUGGGUGUAAGGGGAGCGUAGGCGGGACUGCAAGUUGGGUGUAAAAUCUACCGGCUCAACCGGUAGCCGCACUCAAAACUGCAGUUCUUGAGUGAAGUAGAGGCAGGCGGAAUUCCUAGUGUAGCGGUGAAAUGCGUAGAUAUUAGGAGGAACACCAGUGGCGAAGGCGGCCUGCUGGGCUUUUACUGACGCUGAGGCUCGAAAGUGUGGGGAGCAAACAGGAUUAGAUACCCGUGUAGUC
rnacentral:rRNA from 1 species